CAUCCAUUGGCACCUUGGCUACUUCAUCCUGGCUGUCCUCCGGCACUGGAACCCUAGCAACCGAAAGUCCGUUCAGUGCUGCCAACAUCAAGGGCCUCUUCUGGGCCUCCAGGCCUGCCAUCUUCUGCUUUUCUAGAUUCCUCAUCAUGAUUUCUCUCUCUAUAAUGCUGUCCUCGAUUGAAAACAUUUCAGACACAGGCCUUUCCUUGACAGGUUCUUUCUUCACCCUCUCCUUUACGCUUGUGAGGUCAGGCUCUG
rnacentral:lncRNA from 1 species